CCCUCAGUAACGGCGAGUGAAGAGGGAAGAGCCCAGCGCCGAAUCCCCGCCCCGCGGUGGGGCGCGGGACAUGUGGCGUACAGAAGCCCCCCUCCCCGGCGGCGCUUUCGGGGGACCCAAGUCCUUGUGAUCGAGGCCGCAGCCCGCGGACGGUGUGAGGCCGGUAGCGGCCCCCCGGCGCGCCGGGCCCGGGGCUUCUCGGAGUCGGGUUGCUUGGGAAUGCAGCCCAAAGCGGGUGG
rnacentral:ncRNA from 1 species